UAGAAUCAUAAAUAUUAUAAUGUUAUAAACAUUACUAAUAGCAACAUAAGAUAAAAUAUAUAUAAUUAUAUUAUAUAUAUUUCUGAAACACAAGAAAUUGGGUUAAAUAGGUUAUAGAUGACAAAGUACAUGUAGGGUCAUCUGUGUGUAAAGUCAAAUGAUAAAAUAAACUCACAAUGGCCAUAGCAUGUACAUGCAGGCCAUACAGCAUUGGUUUAUAAGGACCAGAAAAAUAAGAUGAAAUGUGGUACACAAUAACGCACAAGAAAACGUUAUAAAAGGGGGUAAUGGAGAUCAGGACUUCAAUAUCCCGUGGUUUGCUGAAACAUAUAGUUUUGUAUCUAUAUUCUUGAAAUGAUAAAAAAAAAUUGUAAUACCUAUGCUCUGAUUAGAACCAAGAAAAGUUUAUAAAGAAGAGAAACACAAACAUUUUUGGAUAAUUACCCACAUUGCAAAUUAGAAAGGGUAUGUACGUACUAGCAUAUAUCUAUGCGUGUGUGUUAUUAAUCAAAAUCCCACUAUUUUCAGUUUUGCAAAUAUAGUAUAUGAAGACAAGGCUGAAGCAGAGAAGGUCUUCCGAGAAUCUGGUGUUGUUACCAUGCGUGGUUCAAAGCUGACUGUGCUUUAUAGCAGCAAAAAGAAGUCACAGGUCACGAAGAAAAACAGUGUGCGACAUGACUUAUACAAGAGAAAGGUAGAGGAGUACAAGCGGAAAAUGACCAGAAAGCUUCGGAAGUCAAACACAGAAUAGAGCUGCUCUCAUUGGACUAGGGACUUAUUUUGUAGACUUUUCAUCUGUUAUUGUUAUGUUAUGAUCUUGUGUUUGACAUUCCUGUAAGGGAGAGUAGCUGCAACAUGAAAAUGUGAAAUGGAAGUAUAUUGGCAGGUGAAAGGAGUUGUUCUUUAACAUCUAUAUAAAUAUAGUUAAGGAU